rnacentral:rRNA from 1 species
AUUGAACGCUGGCGGCAUGCCUUACACAUGCAAGUCGAACGGCAGCACGGGUGCUUGCACCUGGUGGCGAGUGGCGAACGGGUGAGUAAUACAUCGGAACAUGUCCUGUAGUGGGGGAUAGCCCGGCGAAAGCCGGAUUAAUACCGCAUACGAUCUACGGAUGAAAGCGGGGGACCUUCGGGCCUCGCGCUAUAGGGUUGGCCGAUGGCUGAUUAGCUAGUUGGUGGGGUAAAGGCCUACCAAGGCGACGAUCAGUAGCUGGUCUGAGAGGACGACCAGCCACACUGGGACUGAGACACGGCCCAGACUCCUACGGGAGGCAGCAGUGGGGAAUUUUGGACAAUGGGCGAAAGCCUGAUCCAGCAAUGCCGCGUGUGUGAAGAAGGCCUCGGGUUGUAAAGCACUUUUGUCCGGAAAGAAAUCCUUGGCCCUAAUACGGUCGGGGGAUGACGGUACCGGAAGAAUAAGCACCGGCUAACUACGUG